rnacentral:lncRNA from 1 species
AUGUUUCCCAUUUUUCCCCCACAGAAUGCCCAAAUCCCACUAUUCUUCACCAAAACUCCACUUUCUUUCCUCAAAAUCCCAUAUUUUCCCUCACAAACCCCCAAACUCCACUUUUUCUCCCCAAUAUUCCACACAUUUCCUCACAAAAUCCCCAAAUCCCACUGUUUUCCUCCCAAAAUCCCAACAUUUCCCCUCACAAACUGCCCCAAGCUCCACUUUUUCUCCCCAAAAUCCCGCGUUUUUUCCUCACAAAUUACCCAAACUCCAUUUUUUCUUCCUCAAAAUCCCCCUUUUCCCCCCUCACAAAAUACCAAAUUCCACUUUUCCCCCAAAAUUCCGCAUUUUUCCUCACAAACUGCCCCAAAUCCCACUUUUUUCCCCUCAAAAUCCCACUUUUUCCCUCACAAACCGCCCCAAACUCCGCUUUUUCCCCCAAAAUGCCCUUUUUUCCCCCUCAAAAUCCCAUUUUUCUGCUCUCAAAUGGCCCCAGAGUCCCACUGUCCCCCAAAUUCCCCUUUUUUCCUCAUAGAUUGUCCCAAAAUCCCAUUUACCCCUCAAAGUCCCUUUUCCCCACUCGCUCUGCCCCAAAUUCCCACGUUUCCCCCCCAAAAUCCCACACAUCCCCUCACAAAAUCCCAAAUCCCACUUUUCCCCUCAAAUUGUCCCAAACUCCCUUUUUUUUCUUCCAAAUCCCAUUUUCCCCCUCACAAACCGCCCCAAAACUCCACUUUUUCACCCCAAAACUCCACAUUUCCUCACAAAACCCCACAUCCCACUUUUCCUUCACUCAAAUCCCACUUUUUUCCCCCAAAUCUCCAGUUUUCCCCUCUACAAUUUGCCCCAAUCCCACUUUCCCCUCACAAACCACCCCAAACUCCACUUUCUUCCCCCAAAAAUCCCACUUUUGCCCUCACAAACCGCCCCAAACCUCCACUUUUCCACCCCAAACCUCCACAUUUUCUCACAAAACCCCAAAUCCCACUUUUCCUUCACUCAAAUCCCACUUUUUUCCCCCAAAUCUCCAGUUUUCCCCUUUACAACUUGCCCCAAUCCCACUUCCCCCUCACAAACCACCCAAACUCCACUUUCUUCCCUCAAAAAUCCCACUUUUCCCCUCACAAACCGCCCCAAAACUCCACUUUUCCACCCCAAAACUACACGUUUCCUCACAAAACCCCAAAUCCCACUUUUCCUCCACUCAAAUCCCACUUUUUUCCCCCAAAUCUCCAGUUUUCCCCUCUACAAUUUGUCCCAAUCCCAUUUUGCCCCUCACAAACCACCCAAACUCCACUUUUCCCCCCCAAAAAUCCCACUUUUCCCAUCAAAACUGCCCCAAAACUCCACUUUUUCACCCCAAAACUCCACAUCCCACUUUUCCUUCACUCAAAUCCCACUUUUUAUCCCCCAAACCCCCAUUUUUUUUCACAAAAUCCCUCCCCCCCCUUCUCCCUCAAACACUCACUUUCCCCCCUCACUCAGAGCCCCAAAUUCCACUUUUUUCCCCUCAAAAUCCCAUUCCCCUCGAUUGCCCCCCUAAAAUCCCAUUUUCCCCUCACAAAAAUGCACUUUUCCCACAAAAAAUGCAUUUUUCCCCCAAAAAAGCACUUUUACCCUCAAAAACCCACCGAUUUCUCUCUCAAAAAAGCCCUGCUUUCCCUCACUAAAACAACGCUUUUUCCCUCAAAAAAAAUAAAGAAAAAACAACAUUUUCACCACUCAACAAAACGUUUUUCCUUCAAAAAUUCCCAUUAUUUCCCUUAA